rnacentral:rRNA from 1 species
AUACGGAGGGUGCAAGCGUUACUCGGAAUCACUGGGCGUCAAGCGCGCGCAGGCGGCUAUUUAAGUUGGAUGUGAAAGCCUAUGGCUCAACCAUAGAACUGCAUCCAAAACUAUUUAGCUAGAGUGUGGGAGAGGAAGAUGGAAUUAGUUGUGUAGGGGUAAAAUCCGUAGAGAUAACUAGGAAUACCAAAAGCGAAGGCAAUCUUCUGGAACACUACUGACGCUGAGGCGCGAAAGCGUGGGGAGCAAACAGGAGUAGAUACCCUAGUAGUCC